GGAGAGGAGAGCAGUUUUCAUUAGCAAUGGAGAAAGGGUUACAAGCUCUCAUCCUCAUGCCUCUUUGUGUUUACAAAGAAUUCCCCGUAGCCCUAACCCCCAUCACUAAUAAUUUAAAGGGAAAACAAAGAGUUACAAAUUUCCGUAAUUAACCCCAUGUAAACCCUAAAA